rnacentral:rRNA from 1 species
GGUCCUUCGGGGCCCAGUGGCGCACGGGUGCGUAACGCGUAUGCAACCUACCUCAAACUGGGGGAUAGCCCGGAGAAAUCCGGAUUAAUACCGCAUAACACCUUUUGAUGGCAUCUGAAGAAGGUUAAAGAUUUAUCGGUUUGAGAUGGGCAUGCGUGCCAUUAGCUAGUUGGCGGGGUAAGGGCCCACCAAGGCGACGAUGGCUAGGGGUUCUGAGAGGACGGUCCCCCACACUGGCACUGAGAUACGGGCCAGACUCCUACGGGAGGCAGCAGUAGGGAAUAUUGGGCAAUGGGCGGAAGCCUGACCCAGCCAUGCCGCGUGCAGGAUGAAGGCCUUCUGGGUUGUAAACUGCUUUUACCAGGGAAGAAAACACCCAUGCGUGGGGAACUGACGGUACCUGGGGAAUAAGCACCGGCUAACUCCGUGCCAGCAGCCGCGGUAAUACGGAGGGUGCAAGCGUUGUCCGGAUUUAUUGGGUUUAAAGGGUGCGUAGGCGGCCUGUUAAGUCAGCGGUGAAAGCCCGGGGCUCAACCCCGGAACUGCCGUUGAUACUGGCGGGCUUGAGUAUGGACGAGGUAGGCGGAAUUGAGGGUGUAGCGGUGAAAUGCUUAGAUACCCUCAAGAACACCGAUUGCGUAGGCAGCUUACUAGGCCAUAACUGACGCUGAGGCACGAAAGCGU